GCCGGCGUAGCUCAGCUGGUGGAGCGCCGGGCUGUUAACCCGGGGGUCGGUGGUUCGAAUCCACCCGCCGGCG
rnacentral:tRNA from 2 species